ensembl:lncRNA
AAUGAGACUUCACUUCUCCGCUCAGGCUGUACAGAAAGCAGAGGCUCAUGGGAGUGCAGAGCAGAGCAUGCUGGGAAACAGGGCAUGUGCCAGAGGAACGUGUGGAAUGUGUGACUUCAGCGUUUCAGCAUUUCGCGUCGCUUUUGCUGACUUAUCGCCUGCCGCAAAUAUUCCACCCUCGCUGAUGAGUUUUCCAGGAGACGCCGUGCGCCAAGCUUUCCACCGGCGCGCGCGUGUGUGUGUGUGUGUGUGUGUGUGUGUGUGUGUGUGUGUCAGCGAGAGAGAGAGAGAGAGAGAGGGAACGUGUUCAUCACACUGCAGUAAAUGAAGCGUGACCGCUGAGGUACUUCAGCGCAGCGUUAAUUCCAGCGUGUCGUUAACGUGAGAAAUAACACGUCACGUAACGGCUGAAUUUAUUCCACUGAAACGUUUUUUCCUCUUCAGACUGAAACCUGCUGCGUUUCUCAAACACACAGAACGUCACCGGAGUUUGAUAAAGUUGCAGUCUGCCCACGCGACGCUGCCCAGGACUCGCCGACUCCGGGCCCAGCGCGAGCUCCUCAACGCUCCAGCUACACGCUAACGUCGCUAACGCUAACAAGCAUGGCGGGUUUAUAGCUACAGGAUUAGCACGGUGCUGAGAGACAGACAGACGAGGAGAGGGUACAGAGAGUGAGACAGAAAAACAGGGUGAGACAAACAGUACACAUGGAGUGGGACAGGCAGAGAGUGAGACAGUGAGAAGGACACAUGCUGAGAGUGAGACAGAUAAACAGAUAGCAAGUUGGACGAACAGAUCCUGAGAUAAACUAGCUGAUGGUAAGACAGGCAGAGAGUGAGACAGUGAAGAGGAGUGUGAGACAGGCAGAGAGUGAGAGACACAGACAAGCAGAUGUGCAGACAGACAACAGGAGUGUGAGAUAUCCAGGCAGAGAGUGAGACAGAUGAUGUGUGUCGCUCUGACUUCCUGUCCACGAGUGUGGUGUGUGUUUCCUCUUCUCCUCUCCUCUUUUUCUUUUUUCUUCUCAUCUCCUCUCCUCUCCUCUUUUCUCAUCUCUUCUCCUCUCAUCUCCUCUCAUCUCUUCUCUGCUCCUCUCCUCUCUUCUCCUCUCUUCUCAUCGCUUCCCCUCUCCUCUCUUCUCUGCUCCUCUCUUCUCCUCUCUUCUCAUCUCCUCUCCUCUCCUCUCCUCUCUUCUCUGCUCCUCUCUUCUCCUCUCUUCUCCUCUCUUCUCUGCUCCUCUCUUCUCAUCGCUUCCCCUCUCCUCUCUUCUCUGCUCCUCUCUUCUACUCUCUUCUCCUCUCUUCUCAUCUCCUCUCCUCUCCUCUCCUCUCUUCUCUGCUCCUCUCUUCUCCUCUCUUCUC